GACUACAGCCAUGCUACCCUGAACAAGCCUGAUCCCGUCUGAUCUCGGAAGCUAAGCAGGGUCGGGCCUGGUUAGUACUUGGAUGGGAGACCACCUAGGAAGACCAGGUGCUGUAGGUG
rnacentral:rRNA from 1 species